UACGGAGGAUGCGAGCGUUAUCCGGAUUUAUUGGGUUUAAAGGGUGCGUAGGCGGGAUGCCAAGUCGGCGGUAAAAAUGCGGUGCUCAACGCCGUCGAGCCGUUGAAACUGGCGUUCUUGAGCGGGCGAGAAGUAUGCGGAAUGCGUGGUGUAGCGGUGAAAUGCAUAGAUAUCACGCAGAACUCCGAUUGCGAAGGCAGCAUACCGGCGCCCUACUGACGCUGAGGCACGAAAGCGUGGGUAUCGAACAGG
rnacentral:rRNA from 1 species